AUUGAACGCUGGCGGCAUGCUUUACACAUGCAAGUCGAACGGUAACAGGCCGCAAGGUGCUGACGAGUGGCGAACGGGUGAGUAAUGCAUCGGAACGUGCCCAGUCGUGGGGGAUAACUACUCGAAAGAGUAGCUAAUACCGCAUACGAUCUAUGGAUGAAAGCGGGGGACCGUAAGGCCUCGCGCGAUUGGAACGGCCGAUGUCAGAUUAGGUAGUUGGUGGGGUAAAGGCUCACCAAGCCAACGAUCUGUAGCUGGUCUGAGAGGACAACCAGCCACACUGGGACUGAGACACGGCCCAGACUCCUACGGGAGGCAGCAGUGGGGAAUUUUGGACAAUGGGCGCAAGCCUGAUCCAGCAAUGCCGCGUGCAGGAAGAAGGCCUUCGGGUUGUAAACUGCUUUUGUACGGAACGAAACGGCUCUGGUUAAUACCCGGGGCUAAUGACGGUACCGUAAGAAUAAGCACCGGCUAACUACGUG
rnacentral:rRNA from 1 species